UACAGAGGUGGCAAGCGUUGUUCGGAAUUACUGGGCGUAAAGGGCGCGUAGGCGGUUCGUUAAGUCCUGUGUGAAAUCCCCCGGCUCAACUGGGGAACUGCACAGGAAACUAGCGGGCUUGAGUUCGGGAGAGGGAAGCGGAAUUCCGGUUGUAGCGGUGAAAUGCGUAGAUAUCCGGAGGACCACCGGUGGCGAAGGCGGCUUCCUGGACCGACACUGACGCUGAGGCGCGAAAGCUAGGGGAGCAAACGGG
rnacentral:rRNA from 1 species